rnacentral:rRNA from 1 species
AACGAACGCUGGCGGCAGGCUUAACACAUGCAAGUCGAACGCACCGCAAGGUGAGUGGCAGACGGGUGAGUAACGCGUGGGAACGUGCCCUUCAGUUCGGAAUAACCCAGGGAAACUUGGGCUAAUACCGGAUACGUGCGAGAGCAGAAAGAUUUAUCGCUGAAGGAUCGGCCCGCGUCUGAUUAGCUAGUUGGUGAGGUAAUGGCUCACCAAGGCGACGAUCAGUAGCUGGUCUGAGAGGAUGAUCAGCCACAUUGGGGCUGAGACACGGCCCAAACUCCUACGGGAGGCAGCAGUGGGGAAUAUUGGACAAUGGGCGCAAGCCUGAUCCAGCCAUGCCGCGUGAGUGAUGAAGGCCUUAGGGUUGUAAAGCUCUUUCGUCCGGGACGAUAAUGACGGUACCGGAAGAAGAAGCCCCGGCUAACUUCGUGCCAGCAGCCGCCGUAACAC